CACACAGUGGAUGAGACAGUCCAGAAAGUUUCACUUGUCGGAGCUGAAGCUGUCCUCGCUGAGAGGAGACAGUUAACUUAGCCGGUUCAAGUUACGUUAGAGUGUGCUCGUCCUGCUGUCAGUCAGGGGAGCCUCUGUGAUGUGCUGGUCUGGUUAGCUUGAGCACACGACUUCAUCCUGCACCAUCAUCAUCAUCGUCAGCGUCUUCACAGCUGGACAUGUUUGAGAGGGAAACGUUAUCUGUGAGUCUACAGCCAGGAUUCAUGUGGUUCUGUUGGAGGGUGUAUGAACCCUGCAGCUUUACUGUGACUAUAAUGCUGUGUACAGUCACCAAGGCUAACAUAAAUACCUCAGAGACAACAACUGCAGUUAAACUAAAGUUAAACCAACUGACUUCUUUUGUAUUCCACAGUAUACAAUACAGUUAAUUCAUCAAUAAUUUAACCCUCUCAAAUGAAAAAUUCUUAUCUUGAAUAUCUUAGGUUUAUAUUCUACAGCAUCUAUAUUUUAGAAUUAUUCUACAUCUGAUUUACCUAAGUUAAAAUCCAACAGAAUCUUUCUCCUGUGAUUUAUUUAUUUAUUUAUUUUCUAAUCCAGUUUUUGACCAUGUCCCGCGGCUUUCUCCAGUGAAUGGAGCUCUGGUGUCAUCACUUGACAUAAGCUGAUGUUGUGCCAUAUUUAAGACACGUGAUGACGCCUGGACAACUUCAUUUUGGUGAAGAGGGCUGUGAGAUAUGCCUGAGAAAUUCAGAGAAAAAAAAACUGUAUAAACAGUUAUUUGUUCUCAUUGUCCUCAUUUUUGUGUUGCUUCUUAAGUAAAGGAUGAGAGCAGUUAUUCAACCACUCAUUAACCACUCACUCAUCUAUUAGAUGUACUCUUAUAUAAUGAGAUGUACUGGAGGGUAAAUAUACUCUGUGAUAUUUAAUUUCAUUUGCAGAGUUUAGAAUUAGUGUCAAUCCACCCUGUGCAUCAGAUCUUUAUGGCCACAUGUUUUGCUACAGUGCCACACAGUUACUGAAAAUUGAUUUCUGUUUUAAAGGCGAGAAAGCUUAUCGAUGACUGUGCUGAUGUUUAGUUACCAUGACAUCACCUGGGUGUGAUCUAUUAGCAUUAAUCGUACAGCAGUUUCUUUUAAUGAAUGGACAGUGUGUGUGUGUGUGUGUGUGUGUUGAGUUUACAUUACACAUACACUACACAGUUAACCCGGUGCGUCCAGCCUGCUGACAACCCCACAGUGUGAAGCAGCGAAUGAUUAAAUAAUGAAGAGACCUUAAUGCUUCCUCUGGCACGACUCGCCUUCGUUAAUAGACGAUCACUCACAGCGGACAGUAACUGUCCUCUCUGUCUGCUUAAAGAGCGCACACAUUAAGAACAGGCAAACACCUCGGGACAUAAAUAUUCACACUAUUCAAAUCAACAGGCCUGAGAGAAUAUCGUCAGAGCAGUCAGUGAAGGUGAAAUAUAGUCUCUGCUCAUUUCAGACGCUCUUUAAUGGACUUUUCAUUCGCCCCGGCUCUUUGUGCUGACAAAAAGGAAAACACAUCUUCUUAAUUGAAAUGCUCGUUUCCUAACUAUUUUGUCCUGUGCAUUUGUUACCCAGAUGCAUUCACUGUCAAUAUUUCACAGCCGCACUGAUCACAUGCAGGAGGUUGCCCUGUGUGUGCGACUCUUUGGUUUAUGAUAAAUACACAUCUGUUUUUAAAUAAAGAUUUUCUGCUUCAAAAUAAAAUGGAAAGAAAUCAGGUUAUUCUGUGCUGUUUGCUGGAAUGUCUACUGGCAGGAAAAAUGAAUGGUGCACC